rnacentral:rRNA from 1 species
AUUGAACGCUGGCGGCAGGCCUAACAAAUGCAAUUCGAACGAGUGGCGGACGGGUGAGUAAUUUCUGGGAAACUGCCUGAUGGAGGGGGACAACUACUGGAAACAGUAGCUAAUACCGCAUACCGUUCUGUGUGGACAGAUGGGGUUAGCUUGUUGGUGGGGUACCGGCUCACCAAGGCGACGAUCCCUAGCUGGUCUGAGAGGAUGACCAGCCACACUGGAACUGAGACACGGUCCAGACUCCUACGGGAGGCAGCAGUGGGGAAUAUUGCACAAUGGGCGCAAGCCUGAUGCAGCCAUGCCGCGUGUAUGAAGAAGGCCUUCGGGUUGUAAAGUACUUUCAGCGGGGAGGCGUUACCCGCAGAAGAAGCACCGGCUAACUCCGUGCCAGCAGCCGCGGUAAUAC